rnacentral:rRNA from 1 species
UACGGAGGGGGCUAGCGUUGUUCGGAAUUACUGGGCGUAAAGCGCACGUAGGCGGCUUUGUAAGUUAGAGGUGAAAGCCCGGGGCUCAACCCCGGAAUUGCCUUUAAGACUGCAUCGCUUGAACGUCGGAGAGGUGAGUGGAAUUCCGAGUGUAGAGGUGAAAUUCGUAGAUAUUCGGAAGAACACCAGUGGCGAAGGCGGCUCACUGGACGACUGUUGACGCUGAGGCACGAAGGUCAGGGGAGCAAACGGG